ACUUAAAUAGCUUAUAAUUAGAGCGUGACAUUGAAGAUGUCAAGGAAAUGUUUAUUAUUUUUGAGUA
rnacentral:tRNA from 1 species